CUCAGCCGAGUCACUGUGUGUGGAUUAGCUGAUGGUAUGCGCUGUUGUUGCUGGCAAUGUUGCUCUUGGUUCGGCGCUGGUCGCUUUGUUGGUUGACUUUUGCUUGCUUUUGCUUUAAUUUUCUGUUGUUUCUACUAAUACUACUACAACAAUGAGUACAACGACGACUACUGGUGCUGGUGCUGCUGCUGUUGCUGCUGAGUGCUUGGGUUGGCCUGACUGACUUGACUUGACUUGGCUUUGGCGCUGGUGUUGGCUGGCUCGUCGUCUGGUCUGCUGUCGGCGCAGACGGUCCGGUCUGCUCUGGUCUCUGGUGUGGUCUGCUCUGCAGUUGCGUUCGCGUUUCGAAAAUAGUUACAAGAUGUUCAUCGAAGUGAAUAGAACGUCUGAACGGGUGGUGGACUAACUAACUAACCAGCCAGCUAGUCAGCGCCAAGCAAACAGUAAGCAGUUGAGCCCGCGUACACCGCCGCGCGUUGCCUUACAAUUGAAGUGUAGUGAAGUGAAAAACUCUCGGCUGUUGCUUUUAUUUUUCUUUUUUUUCGGUGUUGUUUUUGUCGUUCAUUCUUACUUUUACUAUGCGGUUCUGUGUUGAACCAAGUGUCUGCGCCGCUGUGUAAGUGUGUGCGUGCGUGUGAGUGGUGUGUUGUGUUGAGUGGGAUCUGCAUUUCAGAGUCACAGAGUCGUCUAUACUGUGCUGUCUGCUGGCCACUCAUUUCAGUUCGGCAGCAACAUCCGCAGCAGCCGAACCAGCGAAUUUCAAAGUCGCCUCUUCAAUUCAACCCCCAACGCAAACGCAGACGGUGCGCUAAUUUUGUGUGUUCGAAACGCCCCUAAGAACUAGUGCGCUCCAACAAACUUUUGGAAAACGGAAAGUAAUUAAAUCAUAAAAUUUAAAAUAAAUUUAAUUUUAUCAAAAAAUAAAUAAAAAAUUGCAACAAAUUUUACAUGUGAAAUGCUCGCAAAGAAAGCGCAAAAAUAAAAGUGAAAUGGAAAUGCACCAAAAUUAGAAUUCCUUUCUUCUAACAUUACGGCGCAUAGUUGUGUGGAGGCAGUGUAGAAAAAAAAAGCGCAAAACAAACCGAAUAAAUAAAAUAUAAAAAAAAUUUAAAAAAAAAACAAAUGCAAAUAGUAUUACUUAAGUGAUAGGCAACAUCAAAACGGCUUUAUCAAACAAAAAUGCAUUAGCACCAAUUAAAAACUGCAAUAAGAACACAGAACGACGAAAGUGAAAUGUGAAAAAAUAAAAUAAAUCAAUUGAAAAAGUGUUAAAAAAACAAGAAACAAAACAAAAAAUUACGUACAAAACAGCAAAAGCAACAAGUGAAAAUGUAUUUAAAAAAUAACAGCAUUUGAAAAUAUAAAAAAUGCUAAAACAAUAGCACUUCUAAAUUAGUGAAAACUCAAUAAACAAAAUAGUGACUGUGAAACCCAGUUUAAAGUUAUAACAACUUCACUUACACUAACAACAAAGUGCUAAAAAGUGUGUAAAAAAAUAUUUAUCAAAAAUUCAUAUGCUGAAGCAACAACUUUUUUAUGGUGAAAAGGUGAAACAACAAUUACAAAAAUUCAUAUUUUAAAAGCGGAUUCAUAUUUUGUAAACAAAAUAAAAACAAACGCCAAAUAAACCAAUCAAAGUGCCAAAAGUGUGUGUCAAAACAAAAAGCAAGCAUCAAAAAUUCCACGGCAAAUAUAAUAUUUUCGGAAUUCCGUUUUUAUAAAUACGCAUAUAGAUAUAUCGGUUUGUGCGCAUAGCACACUGACUUACAUAUACAUUCACGUAUAUUGGAGAUAUUACUUUAUUAUAACUGCAUUUAUAUACAUACAUACAUACAUUUUUGGAUAUCGCCAUGCAAAUAACGGAUAUAGUCUUUUGUGAGACGAAAAAUUGAAAAAGAACUUUGUUAUAUACCAACUAUAUAUAUAUUUUAUAUACAAAAACAGCCAAUUUUAUGAGGAGGAUCUAAGCUAUUCAACUUAAAAAUAAGUUUAUACAAAUUUUGCAUUCUACCAAACUACACACACGAACAUGCUAUUCAACAG